GCCAACGGCCAUACCACGUUGAACACACCAGUUCUCGUCGAUCACUGAAGUUAAGCAACGUCGGGCCCGGUUAGUACUUGGAUGGGUGACCGCCUGGGAACCCGGUGCUGUUGGUA
rnacentral:rRNA from 1 species